rnacentral:rRNA from 1 species
GACAGAGGGUGCAAACGUUGCUCGGAAUCACUGGGCGUAAAGGGCGUGUAGGCGGGAAUGUAAGUCGGGCGUGAAAUCCCUAGGCUCAACCUAGGAACUGCACUCGAAACUGCGUUUCUUGAGUAUCGGAGAGGAAAGCGGAAUUCCUGGUGUAGAGGUGAAAUUCGUAGAUAUCAGGAGGAACACCAGUGGCGAAGGCGGCUUUCUGGACGGUAAC